UCCCAGACUCCUACGGGAGGCAGCAGUGAGGAAUAUUGGUCAAUGGCCGAGAGGCUGAACCAGCCAAGUCGCGUGAGGGAAGACAGCCCUACGGGUUGUAAACCUCUUUUGUCGGGGAGCAAAGCGAGUCACGUGUGACUCAUUGAGAGUACCCGAAGAAAAAGCAUCGGCUAACUCCGUGCCAGCAGCCGCGGUAAUACGGAGGAUGCGAGCGUUAUCCGGAUUUAUUGGGUUUAAAGGGUGCGCAGGCGGGAGAUCAAGUCAGCGGUAAAAUGUCGGGGCUCAACCCCGGCCGGCCGUUGAAACUGGUUUUCUAGAGUUGGAGAGAAGUAUGCGGAAUUCGUGGUGUAGCGGUGAAAUGCAUAGAUAUCACGAAGAACUCCGAUUGCGAAGGCAGCAUACCGGCGCCAUACUGACGCUGAGGCACGAAAGCGUGGGGAUCGAACAGGAUUAGAUACCCUAGUAACA
rnacentral:rRNA from 1 species